GCCCUCGUGGAGCAGUGCAGCUCACUCUCACAACAUUCUCUUGUUGCAAGCAUAUCUGGGAGAGCCGGUGGUUCGAAUCCACCCGAGGGCA